rnacentral:tRNA from 1 species
GGAGAGCGCCUGCUUUGCACGCAGGAGGUCUGCGGUUCGAUCCCGCAUAGCUCCACCA